AGUGAACGCUGGCGGUAGGCCUAACACAUGCAAGUCGAACGGCAGCACAGUAAGAGCUUGCUCUUACGGGUGGCGAGUGGCGGACGGGUGAGGAAUACAUCGGAAUCUACUUUUUCGGGGAGGAUAACGUAGAGAAACUUACGCUAAUACCUCAUACGACCUACGAGUGAAAGCAGAGGAUCUUGGGACCUUUCCCGAUCUACUAAGCCGAGCUCGGAUGUGUUAGUUGGCGGGUGAAGGGCCCACCAAGGCGACGAUCCGUAGCUGGUCGGAGAGGAUGACCAGCACAACUGGAACGGGGACACGGUCCAGACUCCUACGGGAGGCACCAGUGGGGAAUAUUGGAAAAUGGGCGCAAGCCUGAUCCAGCCCUACCGCGUGGGGGAAGAAGGCCUUCGGGUUGUAAAGCCCGUUUUUUGGGAAAGACAAGCAGCAGGUUAAUACCCCGCUGUUCUGACGGUACCCAAAGAAUAAGCACCGGCUAACUUCGUG
rnacentral:rRNA from 1 species